CUAAUUAUGAUAAAAUUAGAUUUAGAUAUCCGCCAAGAUAUUAUAAAUAUAAUUUAAAAUGAAUAAAGUACAACAAUACAAAGAAUUAAAACAAAUUAUUUCUGAAAAACGUAAAGAAUUAAAAAUAAGGAUAAAAAGACUACAUUAUAAUAUAUUUGCUGGAGUUAGUAAAAAUUCAAUAGAUACACAAAAAGAUGAAAUAUCAAAAUUAGAAUCACAAAUAGAUAGUUUAGAAUAUAUAUAUCAACAUGAACUAUUCACAAUAAAAUGAAC
rnacentral:lncRNA from 1 species